rnacentral:rRNA from 16 species
AGACCAUCAGCUAAGGUCCCCAAAUAUAUGUUAAGUUGAAUAAACGAGGUGAAAUUGCACAGACAGCUAGGAUGUUGGCUUGGAAGCAGCCAUUCAUUUAAAGAGUGCGUAACAGCUCACUAGUCGAGCGAUUUUGCAUGGAUAAUAAUCGGGCAUAAACAUAUUACCGAAGCUAUGGAUUUGUAUUAUAUACAAGUGGUAGGGGAGCAUUGU